UACGUAGGGUGCAAGCGUUAAUCGGAAUUACUGGGCGUAAAGCGUGCGCAGGCGGUUUUGUAAGUUUGUCGUGAAAGCCCCGGGCUCAACCUGGGAAUGGCAAUGGAUACUGGCAGGCUAGAGUGCGGUAGAGGGUAGUGGAAUUCCCGGUGUAGCGGUGAAAUGCGUAGAGACCCGGAGGAACACCGGUGGCGAAGGCGGCUUCCUGGUCUGCAACUGACGCUGUGGCGCGAAAGCUAGGGGAGCAAACGGG
rnacentral:rRNA from 1 species